CCUACGGGUGGCAGCAGUGGGGAAUAUUGGACAAUGGGGGGAACCCUGAUCCAGCCAUGCCGCGUGUGUGAAGAAGGCCCUCGGGUUGUAAAGCACUUUCAGUGAGGAAGAACGCCUGGUGGUUAAUACCCAUCAGGAAAGACAUCACUCACAGAAGAAGCACCGGCUAACUCCGUGCCAGCAGCCGCGGUAAUACGGAGGGUGCGAGCGUUAAUCGGAAUUACUGGGCGUAAAGCGCGCGUAGGUGGCUUGAUAAGCCGGUUGUGAAAGCCCCGGGCCCAACCUGGGAACGGCAUCCGGAACUGUCAAGCUAGAGUGCAGGAGAGGAAGGUAGAAUUCCCGGUGUAGCGGUGAAAUGCGUAGAGAUCGGGAGGAAUACCAGUGGCGAAGGCGGCCUUCUGGACUGACACUGACACUGAGGUGCGAAAGCGUGGGUAGCAAACAGGAUUAGAUACCCGAGUAGUC
rnacentral:rRNA from 1 species